GUCUACAGCCAUUCCACCCUGAACAAGCCUGAUCUCGGAAACUAAACAGGGCUGGGCCUGGUUAGUAUUUGGAUGAGAGACUACCUAGGAAGUCCAGGUGAUGUAGGUG
rnacentral:rRNA from 1 species